UACGUAGGGGGCAAGCGUUAUCCGGAUUUACUGGGCGUAAAGGGAGCGCAGGCGGCAUGGCAAGUCUGAUGUGAAAGCCCGGGGCCCAACCCCGGGUCUGCAUUGGAAACUGUGGUGCUGGAGUGUCGGAGGGGCAGGCGGAAUUCCUAGUGUAGCGGUGAAAUGCGCAGAUAUUAGGAGGAACACCGGUGGCGAAGGCGGCCUGCUGGACGAUGACUGACGCUGAGGCUCGAAAGCGUGGGGAGCAAAC
rnacentral:rRNA from 1 species